rnacentral:rRNA from 1 species
CCUACGGUGGCAGCAGUGGGGAAUAUUGGACAAUGGGCGAAAGCCUGAUCCAGCCAUGCCGCGUGUGUGAAGAAGGCCUUCGGGUUGUAAAGCACUUUCAGUGGGGAAGAAAGCCUUGGGGCUAAUACCCUCGAGGAAGGACAUCACCCACAGAAGAAGCACCGGCUAACUCCGUGCCAGCAGCCGCGGUAAUACGGAGGGUGCGAGCGUUAAUCGGAAUUACUGGGCGUAAAGCGCGCGUAGGCGGUCUGAUAAGCCGGUUGUGAAAGCCCCGGGCUCAACCUGGGAACGGCAUCCGGAACUGUCAGGCUAGAGUGCAGGAGAGGAAGGUAGAAUUCCCGGUGUAGCGGUGAAAUGCGUAGAGAUCGGGAGGAAUACCAGUGGCGAAGGCGGUCUUCUGGACUGACACUGACGCUGAGGUGCGAAAGCGUGGGUAGCAAACAGGAUUAGAUACCCCGGUAGUC